CCUGGGCUGGGAGCGACUGGGGACAGGGCACAAAGGGGAGGGCCAUGCUCUUGGUGGAGAGCCUUAGCCUUCCCCCUUAUUCCCCUGCAUCCCAGUUGGGGGGUCAGCAGGCAGACAAGGUGCUCAACUCACAAGGAAGCUGAAAUGUGACGAGAUUCACACCCAGCAAGCACCUUCUCAGAUGAGCUGGAAUCACAAGGCAUUAGCGGGAGCAGGGGCUUGUUCCAGAGGCCAAUUUGAUGGCCAAGGGUAGGGGCUGGGGGUGAGGUGGGAACUAAUUACUGAAUGUGUCUCAACAAGAGGGACCACCACCUGGAAACCUGGUGAAGGGCUCGUUCCAAAAUUGCCAUUGCCAAUUCAAAGAUGAGAGAGUUAGAAUCCCUGUGUAUUGAUUCUGGAAAAGUCCUUUAGUAGGGUGUGGUGGAAGGAAUUCUAGCUUUGGAGUCAAAUGGGCUGGGUUUUGAAAAUGUCACGUUUACAACACCUCUCUGAGCUGCAGUUUUCAAAUCUGACAGGAGUGGCAAAUUCGUCUCAUUUCUCAUGUCAACUCUGAUCAAUUGCCCAGGGCACUGGGCUGAGAAUUGUGAAACCCUAUCCAGAUUUAGUUAAAAACAGUGCUGUAGGGCUGGCCACGGUGGCUUAUGCCUGUAUUAUCAGCACUUUGGGAGGCCAAGGUGGGAGGAUUGUUUGAGCCCAGGAGUUCGAGACCAGCCUGGGUAAAAUGGCAAAAUUCCAUCUCUAUUUAUGAAAAAAAAAAAAAAAGGCAAAGAAUUUGAAUAGAUGUUGCUCUUAAAAAAACAUGUAUGAGUGGCCAAUAAGUACAUAAAAAGAUUGUCUGGGCCAGGCAUGGUGGUCCACACCUGUAAUCCUAACACUUUGGGAGGCCGAGGUGGACAGAUAGUUUGAGCCCAGGAGUUCGAGACCAGGUUGGGCAACAUGACAGAACCCCAUCUCUACAAAAAAAUAGAAAAAUUAGGCAGGUGUGGUGGCAUGUGCCUGUAGUCCCAGCCACUUGGGAGGCUGAGGUAGGAGGAUUACCUGAAGGAGGUCGAGGCCGCAGUGAGCCAUGAUCGCAUCACUGCACUCCAGCCUGGACAACAGAGUAAGACCCUGUCUCAAAAAAAAAAAAAAGAUUGUCUUUAUUAUUAGUGAUUAAAGAAAUGCAAAUCAAACUCAAUGAACUAUCACUUCACACCCACCAUGAUAGCUAGAAUUAAAAAGGCAGACUAUAUGAUGUAUUGGUGAGAAUGUGGAGAAAUUGGAAUCUUCACAUACUACUAAAGGGAAUGUACAGCGAUUCUAUCACUUUGGAAAGCAAUCUAAAUGUUAAACGUAGACUAAGUUACCAUGUGACUCAACAAUUUUAUUCCUAGGUAUCCACCCAAGAAAAAUAAAAACAUAUGUGCAUUCAAAGACUUGUACAUGAAUAGCAGCAUUAUUCUAAAUAGCCAAAAGAUGGAAAUGACUCAGAUGUUCAUCUGCUGAUGGAUGGUUGAAUAAAAUGUGGUAUAUCCAUGUGAUGGAAUAUUAUUCAUCCAUGAAAAGGAAUGAAGUACUGACACAUGCUGCAACAUAGAUGAACCUUGAAAACAUUAUGCUAAAUGAAAGAAGUCAGUCACAAAAGACCACAUAUUGUACAAUUACAUUUAUGAAAUGUCCAGCAUAGACAAAUCUAUAGAAAUAGAAAAUAGAUGAUUGGUUUCCAGGGGCUAAGGAAGAGGAAAAUGGGGAGUAAGUGUGAAUGGGUGCAGGGUUUCUUUCUGGGGUGAUGAAAAUAUUCUAAAGUUAGAUAAUGAUGAUGGUUGUAUGACUCUGUGAAUAUAGUAAAAAUAAAUAAAAAUAAAAUAAAAUAACCAAGCAGGGAAUGAUAGGACUACAACAUAGGGAGAAAUAGAGAGGUAGAAUGAGUGCUGACUGGAAGUCCAGAGGCUGAUUUUUAGUUCAGAGUUGUAUUUUUAGUUUGAUUAGCUACUUGGCUCUUGGGCAAGCCACUUCUCUCCAGUUCUCAUUUCCUCAUCUACAAAAUAGAUGAGUUUAACGAAAAUACCUUUAACAUCCUUUCUAGACUUAUAACAUUUUAUAAGUCUAUGAAGGGCUAAAAAUGGUCUCAGGGUCAUGGUCAUAGCUGGCCACUGGAAAUAGGCCAAGAAUAUCAAAACUCUCUGUGGGGGUCAGGUGCAUGGCUGGUGUAGGAUGUAACUGCCAGGACCCUGGGGAAAAGUUAGAGAUCUCUGAAGAGAAUUAAAAGGAUGAGAACUCAUUGUGGAAUAGGAAGGUGUAAGAAUGUCUAGGCGAAGGAGAAAAACCAUUUAUUUACAGAGACCUGACUUUUUACGCAGCAAUGGGACCCAUCAGUCUGAAAGGAGCAGGGGACAGCUCUCCAGCCCGUUUACUCUUUCCUGCUCCAUUCCCAGGCUGGCCCAGACAGGAGCAGCUCCCUGGGAGGCAGCUGGGUCCCAGCUGAGAUGGGCCGCUCUGGCUGCCUCACCCUGCCUCUCCCCACCACUUCCAUCCAGUCAUCCUCCCUCCCUCCUGUCCUCCAGUCACUGAAAAUGACUGAAAAUGACCUUGUGCAGGGACAGUUCUGGGUGCUCCAGACCUAGCAAUGAACAAAGCAGAUCAAGUCCCUAACCCCACUUAUUUUCUAAUGGGAGAUCACUGACAAUCAACAAGUAAAUAAAAGGGUAGAAAAAAAUACAAUUUCAGGUGGUGGAAGUGCUUAUAAAGAAAAGAGCCGGGCAGGGGUGGGCAGAGGGAGUGGGAAAGGUAGACGAGCUUGUCAUCAGAGGCCAAUCUGGCCUUGAGACCUUGGGCCAAGGCUGAGGGAACCAUGAGUCUGAGGGCCUUGAGACAGGAAUGAACUUGGCCUCUUAAAGGAUGGACCAAGGAGGCUGAGCAAAUGAGGGGGAGCAUGGGAGAAGGUGGAGCUUGAGAAGUGGAUGGGACCAGGCCAUGGAGGGCUUCUCAGGCACGAGCAGAAGUUUGGGACGUCACUGGAGGGUACUGGGUAGGGGUCUUAUUGAUUGAUUGAUUGAUUGAUUGAGAUGGAGUCUCCCUCUGUCACCUAGACCUGGAGUGCAGUGGUGCAAUCUCCACUUACUGCAACCUCUGCCUCCUGGGUUCAAAUGAUUCUCCCACCUCAGCCUCCCAAGUAGCUGGGACUACAAGUGCAUGCCACCACACCCAGCUGAUUUUUGUAUUUUUAGUAGAGAUGAGGUUUUUCCCUGUUGGCCAGGCUGGUCUUGAUCUCCUGACCUCAGGUAAUAUGCCUGCCUCAGCCUCCCAAAGUGUUGGGAUUAUAGGCCAACACUCCUGGCCAGGGAUCUUAUUUACACCCCACCCUAGCAAGGACCGUCAGAGGCUGCUGCUUGUGUAGUGUCCUCAUCAGCUGUGCAGGUGCAAGGUGCAGGUGUAAGGGGAGCUGCCUGAGUCCAGGUCCAACCCUUACUCAUCUAGCAGAUGGAGGUCUUCCAUAGGUGUGGCUGUGCAGGUCUUGGGUGGCAGGCGGUUACUAUAAAGAAAAAAAAUCACUGGGCUGGGCAUGGUGGCUCAUGCCUAUAAUCCCAACACUUGGGAGGCUGAGGUGGGAGGAUGGCUUGAGGCCAGGAGUUCCAGAUCAGCCUGGCCAACAUAGUGAGACCCCACCAUCUCUAAAAAACUUGAAAAACAAAAACAAAAACUAGCCAGGUGUGAUGGCAUGCAUCUAUAGUCCCAGCUACUCGGGAGGCUGAGGUGGGAGGGUUGCUUGAGUCCAGGAGUUAAGGCUGAAGUGAGCUAUGAUCACACCACUGCACUCUCACCUGGGUGUCAGAGCAACACCCUGUCUCAAAAAAAAAAAAAAAAAAAAAAAAAAGAAAAGAAAA